rnacentral:rRNA from 1 species
CGUAGGUGGCAAGCGUUGUCCGGAAUUAUUGGGCGUAAGCGCGCGCAGGUGGUUCUUAAGUCUGAUGUGAAGCCCACGGCUCAACCGUGGAGGUCAUUGGAACUGGGAACUUGAGUGCAGAAGAGGAAGUGGAAUUCCAAGUGUAGCGGUGAAAUGCGUAGAGAUUUGGAGGAACACCAGUGGCGAAGGCGACUUUCUGGUCUGUAACUGACACUGAGGCGCGAAAGCGUGGGGAGCGAACAGGAUU